GAACAGGCUGCUGAAUCUUCACGCAGGACAGGAUCUCUGCUUCACUUUUGGGUCAUCUGAUCUGAGGGAUUGGAUACUUCAUCUGAAUCGCUCCACCUAGAUCGCUUUGCUUGGAUCGUCUUCACAGAUCGAUUCUGUUGCAUCUUCCUGACUUCAACUUGGAUCGCUUCACUUCUACUAUUAUUGGAUACAUUGGGAGGGGGGGCACCUGGUCUAUAACUGAUAACUGUUCUUCACACAAUUUGUGGUAUAUGUAUAUCAAUACAAUUUUCUAAAUAAGUUUCUGCAUUGCAGCUCACUGGGAUUUGAUCGCUUCUUCUGGAACGCUUCACUUGGAUCGCUUCUUCUGGAACACUUCACUUGGAUCACGUUACUUGGAUCAUCUUCACAGAUCGAAUCGGUUGCAUCUUCCUCGUUUCCAGAGUUCCUUUGACAAUCAACUCUGCAUCAAUUUCGGGUCCCCACUGAUCUGAGGGAUUGGAUUGCUUCUUCUGGAUCACUUCGUCUGGAUUGCUUCUUCUGGAACGCUUCACUUGGAUCGUGUUACCUGGAUCAUCUUCGCAGAUCGAAUCCGUUGCAUCUUUCCAGGUUUUCUUUGACAGUCAACUGGACUUCACUUUCGGGUCCUCUCUGAUCUGAGGUCUGUUAUUUUGGUACCACUUGUGUGAUGGGCAUUUCUUCGAAUUGAUGUAUUUCAUCAGGUCUGGUAUCAGCCGCUACUAUUAUAGAAUACACUGGGGGGGGGGGGUCUGCUAUAACUAAAGGCAUCACUUACAAAUAAUAAAUUAUAUUGUUCUUUACAUAUUUUGUGGUAAAUAUAUCAAUAAAAUGUUAUAAAAGACACAAUGAACUGCGUUUUACUAGUGUGUUUUUUGGGGGAGGGGCUGCUACUACUUACAUUCUUUGGAGGGGGUGGAACAUAGUCUGGGAUCAGUUAUUACUGUAAUGGGGCCAAAGGUCUGGGGUCUGCUACAAUUAUUAUUAUUUCAUACAUGGGUGGGACCCAUGG